rnacentral:rRNA from 1 species
GUCCCGCCUGCCCAGUGAAUAAUCAUUUAAACGGCCGCGGUAUCCUAACCGUGCAAAGGUAGCAUAAUCACUUGUCCCCUAAUUAGGGACCCGUAUGAACGGCUAACCGAGGGCAAACCUGUCUCCUACAGCCAAUCAAUGAAAUUGAUCUUCUAGUACAAAAGCUAGAAUAUGCGCAUAAGACGAGAAGACCCUGUGGAGCUUUAAGCUAACUACUACCCCACUACAAUAGUACCUCAGCUUUAAGUUGGGGCGACUACGGAGAACAACAGAACCUCCACGACAACGCUAGCCUCUCACCAGGGCUACACCCCAAACAGAAGAAGGCACUGACCCAGCUAACACUGAUCUACGAACCAAGUUACCCCAGGGAUAACAGCGCCAUCCCCUUC